rnacentral:rRNA from 1 species
GAUGAACGCUGGCGGCGUGCCUAAUACAUGCAAGUCGAGCGAACAGACGAGGAGCUUGCUCCUCUGACGUUAGCGGCGGACGGGUGAGUAACACGUGGAUAACCUACCUAUAAGACUGGGAUAACUUCGGGAAACCGGAGCUAAUACCGGAUAAGAUAUUGAACCGCAUGGUUCAAUAGUGAAAGACGGUUUUGCUGUCACUUAUAGAUGGAUCCGCGCCGUAUUAGCUAGUUGGUAAGGUAACGGCUUACCAAGGCAACGAUGCGUAGCCGACCUGAGAGGGUGAUCGGCCACACUGGAACUGAGACACGGUCCAGACUCCUACGGGAGGCAGCAGUAGGGGAUCUUCCGCAAUGGGCGAAAGCUUGACGGAGCAACGCCGCGUGAGUGAUGAAGGUCUUCGGAUCGUAAAACUCUGUUAUUAGGGAAGAACAAAUGUGUAAGUAACUAUGCACGUCUUGACGGUACCUAAUCAGAAAGCCACGGCUAACUACGUG